CAUCUACAUCGUGUUUCCUUUACAUUAAUUGCCUUUCCCAAUGAACACGAAUUAUAAUGAAGUAUGAAACCGAAGUUGGUACAAUAAUUAAAAGAGUCAAUAUAUAACGUUUUUGUUCCGAAAAAGUUUAAACUUAACAUACAGAAGGAACCUGAAGAACAAUCCAAACUUCCAGUUCAGAAAAUAAAAAAGUGCCAUACCAAUCAAAAUGGCUGCCGUUCAGUUUUUGUGUCUGAUCCUGGUAAUAUUUGUAACAUCAUCGCUUUCAUUGGAUGAAAACGGUGACAUAGCAACAACACAAGAAACAAUACAAGAAAAUGGCGCAGUUACAGCGACAGGUAUUCCAGCAGUUGACCUUCAUGAAAGCAUUUGUGAGAGAAAAACAAUAUGUCAGGAAAUUUGUCUGAGUGAUCAUUCUGGAUGUCAAAAAUUCUGCUUUCCUGGACCAAAAAUAAAUUGCCAAUCGAAGCUUGGCUAACUAAUGUACUUUGUGAUAUACAUGUCAUAAAAUUUAAGAGUACAGUCUAA